AAUAAAAAAAAUACUUAUAACUUAUGCAAAACCCAAGAGAGGCAUUUAUAUUUAUUUCUUUUGCGUUCAUUGUUCAUUUUCAAAUUCGCCGUGCAUAUAUUUUUGUGCAUGGCGCUUGAGAGGGCAUCACGUGACUAAAAACGACCAACCAACGACCUCGCUUCGGCCAUCUUCCAUCUUGGCAUCUUCAUCUUCUCCACCUUGACCUUGCUUUGCCGUGGGUGGAUCGUUGUUUCUAUUAUUUGUGCUUUUUAAGAAUAUUUUUUUAAUUCGGAUACUUUUAUAAUAGCUUUAAUAGUAUUAUUAACAUAGUGAAUAAAAUGGUGUCCUGUUUUUAACGCAGUUGGAGUAGCAGAAACAAAUGUAGAUAAAAAAAUCUGCAGGAAUAACGUUUCAAUUAUGACAGAAGCUCCAAACAAAUGACUGAAUGAAAAGCCCUAUUAAAAGCUUUCCAGAAGAUCCUGCGAAGAAGACAUGAAGUAUAGAUCAGAUUUGUUAAUAGAGGAGUAUGUUCAAAACACUUUUUAGAAAAAGAUAUUGACAGAACUUCACUUUCAUCUGUUCGUUUAAGAGACUGUGCUGUUCCAAUAGCUUAUGUCACACAGAAUCAGCUGAGAGAAGUGGUCUACAAAAAACCAGAAAGGAAACGGAAUAUGUGGCUACGAAAAGCAAAAGAAAGGUUUACAAAGCAAAUGUGACACAUUUUUUUAUAAUAUUUAGGAAUGUCAGUAAAUUACAUUAAAAAAUGUAUGUAAAGAUUUUUUGCAAUAAAAAUGUUUAUAUUUAUCAAGCAUGUAUUAUUUGGUAUGGCCACAUAUCGUCAGUGAUGUGACAAUACCUCCUAUCU